GCUGCGGGUUCGAGCCCCGUCAGUCCCGACAAAUCCAAUAAACAAUAAUCCAAUAAAAAAAAAA
rnacentral:tRNA from 1 species